UAGUACUGUGAAGGAAAGGUGAAAAGCACCCCGGGAGGGGAGUGAAAAAGAACCUGAAACCCUGUGCCUACAAGCACCUAGAGCACGUCAAUGUGUGAUAGGGUACUUUUUGUAGAACGGUCCGGCGAGCGAUUGUAUGCAGCAAGGUUAAGGACUUAAGGUCUGGAGCCGAAGCGAAAGCGAGUUUGAAAAGGGCGUUAAGUUGCAUAUAAUGGGCCCGAAACCGGGUGACCUACCCAUGGUCAGGUUGAAGUGGAAGUAAAAUUCCAUGGAGGACCGAACCGACCUCCGUUGAAAAGGCGGCGGAUGAACUGUGGGUAGCGGAGAAAUUCCAAUCGAACCCGGAGAUAGCUGGUUCUCCCCGAAAUAGUUUUAGGACUAGCCUCAAGUUAGAUACCUGGAGGUAAAGCACUGAAUAGCCUAGCGGCCGAGAGGUUAGCGAAGCUUAUCAAACUCAGAAUGCCAGAGUAUUGAUGCUUGGGAGUCAGACAGUGUCAGAUAAAUGUCAUUGUCAAAAGGGAAACAGCCCAGAUCUACAGCUAAGGUCCCAAAGUCAGGUUAAGUGGAAAACGAUGUGAAGAUACGCAGACAACCAGGAUGUUGGCUCAGAAGCAGCCACUCAUUCAAAGAGUGCGUAAUAGCUCACUGGUCGAGCGUCUUUGCGCGGAGAAUUUAACGGGGCUAAACCUGACACCGAAGCUUAGGCAGCAUGAUUACAUGCUGGGUAGGGGAGCGUUGUAUACGCGGUGAAACAGUAGCGCAAGCGGCUGUGGAGUGUAUAGAAGUGAGAAUGCCGGAAUGAGUAGCGCGAAUGCAGUGAGAAUCUGCAUGGCCGAAAGCCUCAGGUUUCUGGAGGAAGGUUCGUCCGCUCCAGGUUAGUCGGGAGCUAAGGUGAGGCCUAACGGCGUAGCCGAUGCACAGACGGUAGAGAUUCCGUCACCACCAAAAGAGUUAAACACAGGGACACAUAUGAAGUCUCGGAGCCGGGUGUUGGUUCCGGUAGCGAUCGAGGGAAGUUAGUACCGAAGUCCGGGAUGGAAGAUGGCGAGAAAAGCUGUGUGAAUUUCUGCGGUGCCCGUACCGCAAACCGACACAGGUAGGUAGGAAGAAGAUUCUAAGGCCAACGGGAGAAGGGUUGUUAAGGAACUCGGCAAAUUGACCCCGUAACUUCGGGAGAAGGGGUGCUCCAGAGAUGGAGCCGCAGAGAAUCGGCCCAAGCAACUGUUUACCAAAAACACAGGUUUGUGCUAAAUCGAAAGAUGACGUAUACGAGCUGACGCCUGCCCGGUGCUGGAAGGUUAAGAGGAGAUGUGCAAGCAUUGAAUCGAAGCCCCAGUGAACGGCGGCCGUAACUAUAACGGUCCUAAGGUAGCGAAAUUCCUUGUCAGGUAAGUUCUGACCCGCAUGAAAGGCGUAAUGAUUUGGGCACUGUCUCAACAGCCCGCCCGGCGAAAUUGUAGUACCGGUGAAGAUGCCGGUUACCCGCGACAAGACGGAAAGACCCCAUGGAGCUUUACUGUAGCCUAAUAUUGGGUUUCGAUGUUGCAUGCACAGGAUAGAUGGGACACUGGGAAGCAGGUGCUUUGGCGCUUGUGGAGUGGCCGUUGGGAUACCAUCCUUGCGAUAUUGGAAUUCUAACCUGCGCCUUUGAAUCAAGGCGGGGGACAUUGUUAGGUGGGCAGUUUGACUGGGGCGGUCGCCUCCUAAAGAGUAACGGAGGCGUUCAAAGGUUCGCUCAGCUUGAACGGAAAUCAAGCAAAAGAGUGCAAACGCAGAAGCGAGCCUAACUGCGAGACUGACGGGUCGAGCAGUAACGAAAGUUGGAGUUAGUGAUCCGGUGGUAUGUGAGUGGAAAUGCCAUCGCUCAACGGAUAAAAGUUACCCUGGGGAUAACAGGCUGAUCUCCCCCAAGAGUCCACAUCGACGGGGAGGUUUGGCACCUCGAUGUCGGCUCAUCGCAUCCUGGGGCUGUAUUCGGUCCCAAGGGUUUGGCUGUUCGCCAAUUAAAGCGGUACGCGAGCUGGGUUCAGAACGUCGUGAGACAGUUCGGUCCCUAUCUGUCGUGGGCGCAGGAUAUUUGAUGGGAGCUGUUCCUAGUACGAGAGGACCGGAGCGGACGUACCUCUGGCGCACCAGUUGUUCUGCCAAGAGCAUAGCUGGGCAACUAUGUACGGAUCGGAUAAACGCUGAAAGCAUCUAAGCGUGAAGCCGACCCAAAGAUAAGAUAUCCCAUUGU
rnacentral:rRNA from 1 species